rnacentral:rRNA from 1 species
AUUCCAGCUCCAAUAGCGUAUAUUAAAGUUGUUGCAGUUAAAAAGCUCGUAGUUGGAUUUCUGAAUGAAAUAUCCGGUCCGCUUGUCUUUGAUGAGUGUGUACUUUAGAUAUUUGGUUCAUUUUUUGUGAGGAAAUUUAUCUGUCAUUAAGUUGAUGGAUUUAUAGACUUGCAUCAUUUACUGUGAAAAAAUUAGAGUGUUUAAAACAGGCGUUUGCCCAUUUGAAUACAUUAGCAUGGAAUAAUAAGAUAUGACUUUGGUGGUCUAUUUUGUUGGUUUGCACACCAGAGUAAUGAUUAAUAGGGACAGUUGGGGGUAUUCAUAUUUCAACGUCAGAGGUGAAAUUCUUAGAUCGUUGAAAGAUGAGCUUAGGCGAAAGCAUUUACCAUGGAUGUUUUCAUCG